UCUGCCCUCUCUGAAACUCUCUCUUCUAGAUCUCCCUUCAUUCUCUACCUCCCGUCUCUCUGUAAACCUCGAAGGUGAAUCGUAAUUGAACUGCGAGGUCUCCUUCUUUUUCUUUGUUUUCUCAGGUAGGACAUCAUCCCAAUCCAUUAACCCCUUUCAUUUUUCAUUAAAAAAACCCUAAUUGACUUGGCAAGUUCAUGAACCAGAUGUAACACAUUCCAAACUGGGGAUUUAACCAAACCCGAUAGAGCCAUUGACAGAAUCUUUGGAUUCAAUCAACAAGGACUCUCUGUAAUCGCGCAACUUUCUUCACAAGGGAUC
rnacentral:lncRNA from 1 species